rnacentral:misc_RNA from 1 species
UUGAAUGUAAAUGGAGUUGGUUGUUGCUGGUCCUUUCAUUGGGGCAUGUGCACACCUUCUCUAUUCAUCCACACACACCUGUGAACUUGUGAGACGGAUAGCCCUCUCGGGGGUCGUCCGUCUGCUAUACAUAAACUCCAGUAUAUAAAUCUGAAUGUAAUUGAUGUAACGCAUCUAUAAAC